AGAGGGAAACAACCCAGACCGCCAGCUAAGGUCCCAAAGUCAUGGUUAAGUGGGAAACGAUGUGGGAAGGCACAGACAGCCAGGAUGUUGGCUUAGAAGCAGCCAUCAUUUAAAGAAAGCGUAAUAGCUCACUGGUCGAGUCGGCCUGCGCGGAAGAUGUAACGGGGCUAAACCAUGCACCGAAGCUGCGGCAGCGACACUAUGUGUUGUUGGGUAGGGGAGCGUUCUGUAAGCCUGCGAAGGUGACCUGUGAGGGUUGCUGGAGGUAUCAGAAGUGCGAAUGCUGACAUAAGUAACGAUAAAGCGGGUGAAAAGCCCGCUCGCCGGAAGACCAAGGGUUCCUGUCCAACGUUAAUCGGGGCAGGGUGAGUCGACCCCUAAGGCGAGGCCGAAAGGCGUAGUCGAUGGGAAACAGGUUAAUAUUCCUGUACUUGGUGUUACUGCGAAGGGGGGACGGAGAAGGCUAUGUUAGCCGGGCGACGGUUGUCCCGGUUUAAGCAUGUAGGCUGGUUGUCCAGGCAAAUCCGGAUAAUCAAGGCUGAGGUGUGAUGACGAGGCACUACGGUGCUGAAGUAACAAAUGCCCUGCUUCCAGGAAAAGCCUCUAAGCAUCAGGUAACAUUAAAUCGUACCCCAAACCGACACAGGUGGUCAGGUAGAGAAUACCAAGGCGCUUGAGAGAACUCGGGUGAAGGAACUAGGCAAAAUGGUGCCGUAACUUCGGGAGAAGGCACGCUGGUGUGUAGGUGAAGUCCCUGCGGAUGGAGCUGAGACCAGUCGAAGAUACCAGCUGGCUGCAACUGUUUAUUAAAAACACAGCACUGUGCAAACACGAAAGUGGACGUAUACGGUGUGACGCCUGCCCGGUGCCGGAAGGUUAAUUGAUGGGGUUAUCCGUAAGGAGAAGCUCUUGAUCGAAGCCCCGGUAAACGGCGGCCGUAACUAUAACGGUCCUAAGGUAGCGAAAUUCCUUGUCGGGUAAGUUCCGACCUGCACGAAUGGCGUAAUGAUGGCCAGGCUGUCUCCACCCGAGACUCAGUGAAAUUGAACUCGCUGUGAAGAUGCAGUGUACCCGCGGCAAGACGGAAAGACCCCGUGAACCUUUACUAUAGCUUGACACUGAACAUUGAGCCUUGAUGUGUAGGAUAGGUGGGAGGCUUUGAAGCGUGGACGCCAGUCUGCGUGGAGCCAACCUUGAAAUACCACCCUUUAAUGUUUGAUGUUCUAACGUUGGCCCCUUAUCGGGGUUGCGGACAGUGUCUGGUGGGUAGUUUGACUGGGGCGGUCUCCUCCCAAAGCGUAACGGAGGAGCACGAAGGUUAGCUAAUCCUGGUCGGACAUCAGGAGGUUAGUGCAAUGGCAUAAGCUAGCUUGACUGCGAGCGUGACGGCGCGAGCAGGUGCGAAAGCAGGUCAUAGUGAUCCGGUGGUUCUGAAUGGAAGGGCCAUCGCUCAACGGAUAAAAGGUACUCCGGGGAUAACAGGCUGAUACCGCCCAAGAGUUCAUAUCGACGGCGGUGUUUGGCACCUCGAUGUCGGCUCAUCACAUCCUGGGGCUGAAGUAGGUCCCAAGGGUAUGGCUGUUCGCCAUUUAAAGUGGUACGCGAGCUGGGUUUAGAACGUCGUGAGACAGUUCGGUCCCUAUCUGCCGUGGGCGCUGGAGAAUUGAGGGGGGCUGCUCCUAGUACGAGAGGACCGGAGUGGACGCAUCACUGGUGUUCGGGUUGUCAUGCCAAUGGCACUGCCCGGUAGCUAAAUGCGGAAGAGAUAAGUGCUGAAAGCAUCUAAGCACGAAACUUGCCCCGAGAUGAGUUCUCCCUGAGACUUUAAGUCUCCUGAAGGAACGUUAAAGACGAUGACGUUGAUAGGCCGGGUGUGUAAGCGCAGCGAUGCGUUGAGCUAACCGGUACUAAUGAACCGUGAGGCUUAACCUU
rnacentral:rRNA from 1 species